GACGAACGCUGGCGGCGUGCUUAACACAUGCAAGUCGAACGAUGAGGCAAAGAAUUGAAGCUUCGGCAGAAAUUCAUUUCGGAUUAGUGGCAGACGGGUGAGUAACGCGUGAGCAACCUACCUCUUACAAAGGGAUAGCCUCGGGAAACCGGGAUUAAUACCAUAUAACAUUGCGACGAAGCAUUUCGAUGCAAUCAAAGCUACGGCGGUAAGAGAUGGGCUCGCGUCCCAUUAACCAGAUGGUGAGGUAACGGCUCACCAUAGUAACGAUGGGUAACCGGCCUGAGAGGGUGAACGGUCACACUGGAACUGAGACACGGUCCAGACUCCUACGGGAGGCAGCAGUGGGGAAUAUUGCACAAUGGAGGGAACUCUGAUGCAGCGACGCCGCGUGAGUGAUGAAGGAAUUCGUUUCGUAAAACUCUGUUCUAUGGGAAGAAAAGGACUGUACCAUAGGAGAAAGCUCCGGCUAAAUACGUG
rnacentral:rRNA from 1 species